ensembl:misc_RNA 7SK 7SK RNA
AGAUGUGAGGGCAGUCUGACUGUGACAUCUGUCACCUCAUUGAUUGCCAGGGUUGAUUUGGCUGACCUGGCUGGCUAGAUGGGGAUCCCCUUCCUCCCUCACUGCUCCAUGUGCGUUCCUCCUGAAGUUGUGCACUCCAUUGAAGAGGACGACCUUUCUUCGGUCAAGGAUAUACAAGUAGCUGGGCUCCCCUGCUAGUACCUCCAAACAAGCUCUCAAGGAAGAAAACAAUUUCCACGUUGGAUCUGUGUGUUUGAUGUGCUCACAGUACAUCCACUUGCCAAUGUCUAAUAAGCUGUUGGCUAUAUACCAACAGCUGUUUUC